rnacentral:rRNA from 1 species
AUUGAACGCUGGCGGCAGGCCUAACACAUGCAAGUCGAGCGGUAGAGAGAAGCUUGCUUCUCUUGAGAGCGGCGGACGGGUGAGUAAUGCCUAGGAAUCUGCCUGGUAGUGGGGGAUAACGUUCGGAAACGGACGCUAAUACCGCAUACGUCCUACGGGAGAAAGCAGGGGACCUUCGGGCCUUGCGCUAUCAGAUGAGCCUAGGUCGGAUUAGCUAGUUGGUGGGGUAAUGGCUCACCAAGGCGACGAUCCGUAACUGGUCUGAGAGGAUGAUCAGUCACACUGGAACUGAGACACGGUCCAGACUCCUACGGGAGGCAGCAGUGGGGAAUAUUGGACAAUGGGCGAAAGCCUGAUCCAGCCAUGCCGCGUGUGUGAAGAAGGUCUUCGGAUUGUAAAGCACUUUAAGUUGGGAGGAAGGGCAGUAAAUUAAUACUUUGCUGUUUUGACGUUACCGACAGAAUAAGCACCGGCUAACUCUGUGCCAGCAGCCGCGGUAAUACAGAGGGUGCAAGCGUUAAUCGGAAUUACUGGGCGUAAAGCGCGCGUAGGUGGUUAGUUAAGUUGGAUGUGAAAUCCCCGGGCUCAACCUGGGAACUGCAUUCAAAACUGACUGACUAGAGUAUGGUAGAGGGUGGUGGAAUUUCCUGUGUAGCGGUGAAAUGCGUAGAUAUAGGAAGGAACACCAGUGGCGAAGGCGACCACCUGGACUGAUACUGACACUGAGGUGCGAAAGCGUGGGGAGCAAACA